AUGUGAAUUGAAAGAAGUAGUGUAAUCGUGAACAUCUAGUAAAACUCCCUUCUUUCCAUUUCUCGUGCAAUGAAUGGUCGCUCAGUCGGUCCACCUGCUGAUCCCAAGAAGUCUCUGUAGUUCCGACCCUGCUAUGAUAGCAAACUGUUUCACCCAUGGGGAGUCAGUUGGUUUCAUUCUUGUAAUACCUCCAGUUAUCACGAUUCUACGGGAAGGUGUUCUUGACGCAAAAAAGGUGGUAUCCCUAAUCACUUUUUGAUAAGGCACGCAGAAUGGUGGAUUUGCACAAUCUAUUUACGGCUCUAUUCGCUCAGAGUGGAAACGCGCAAAAAUUGUACCUGUUCCAGUAAAGAUUAUUUUCACUGUCGUCCGAUGUUACUCUGGAAGCGCGCAACAUAUUGUUUUUUUCGGCGGUGCUGAACCAGGAACGAGCGAACGGGGUCGUAACCCUUUCACCGCGCAGGUUCACGUUGAUUUUAUCCACUUUUCAAAAGUGUCGAGCUUCUUCAAAAAUUGUACUAAAAUUAGCGAAGCUGUUAAUCGAUGAUUCUGUUCUGAAAUGACGCAUAAAUCACGAUUGAUAUUCAACAAUUACUGCACCACGAUGUCAGUAACUGCACUGAAAGCUUAGCACAACGUCGUACUAUUUCAAAGCUAUCCCUCUUUCACCGAUUUUUCCAUGCCAUUCGCACAGAUCAAUCGCCAAUCGUUCGUGCCGAUAUCAUAUUCCCCCGUCUAAACCAAACUCAUAAAAUCACGCGACUUCACUGUAACACAAACGCAUUCUCCAAGUCAUUCUUUUGUUCGGCCAUAUAGCCAUGUGGAAUGACCUCCCAGAACACAUAGCCACGACCACCAGGCAUUUCUGAACAUCAUACACCCGUUGAAACUCAAUUUUUUCUUCUUGGAUUACUUGCAGACUGUAUAUCGAGUAACUGUAUAUCGAGAGCAGCUGUUGCUCAAUGGUGUACUAGCUGUUUUUGUGGUGGGUCCACUUUUCUUUUUUCCUCCUAAUUGCAAAAUGUUCACUGUAUUUUAUUUGUAUUUUAUAUGUUCACUGUAAUUGUUCCACUGUAUUGCAGUUGUAACUAUGUUUUUUCCCCUCCCAUGUAAUAUCUGUAAGGGCCCUUGGGGUAAACGAAAAUAAAUAAAUAAAUCUAACUGACCGCCCCCCCCCCCCCAUCUACGUCACAUCCGCCCCCUCUUUCACCGGCCAUACAUUUCCAAUGAGGGAGCUUUUGUCAUCUUCGCUCUUUCCGUGACGUCACAUCUAUCUAUCGCCAACAGCGACAGGUGCGUGACGCCAAAUGAAGGUCUAUUCUCAUCCGCCCUUCAUACGUUGCUUUGAGUGCAGUGUGCAAAUCACUCAUUUUAUAACGCAAUUCUUUUCUGUUCUUGUUUACAACAGACUGUAAAACGGGAGAUGAAACAUCUGGAUUCAGGACAGCGACAAUCUCCUUCUGUCGACGCGCGCGUCCCCUGCAACGUUCCGCGGCGCAAAAAUAGCAGACGACGGCUGCAUCAAAUGCACGAGGAAAGCUUCGCUUACUGGGCACCAAGGCCAUCGGUAUCUUUGCAUAUUCGACAUAAGGAGGUGUAAAAAUGCAUCAAGCGCAAAUUAAACGCUCAUUAAUUCGGUGUGAAGCUGAGGUGGGAACUUUGAAACGCACACUUCUAAAGUUAUGACACGCAGACGAAAUGUUUGGCCCAUUUCCCUUUCGGAAACCUUUCUGUAUUAUUUUCGGACCAAUAUUGUGACUAUCCACGGCUCUGUUCACUCACAGUAACCCGGUAUGUGAAGGUAUGCCAAACGUUCUCUCGUGAGCACAUAUCGCGAGCAGGACUCUCGAAUUUGGGGAAGCACGCCGGACAAACCUAUGUAUAAUAUCAGGUCUUCCUCGGGAAAGAAAUGCACUUGAGCUUUGUGAGCUGUUUGGGCCUAGCGAUAUCUCAGGCAUCUUACGAGUUUCAGAGAGAGAAAGGGAAUUCCCCUUCUUUUCUUUGCACUUUGAAACUCCGUGCACAUUGCCCGUUGUGAGAAAUUUUUGUGUGCUUUAGAACGCUGUGCUCAUGUCCGUUGUGGAAAUACGAGCAACAAAUAAAAAAUGAUAAAUCGUUA